CCUACGGGUGGCUGCAGUAGGGAAUCUUCGGCAAUGGGCGCAAGCCUGAACGAGCGAUGCCGCGUGAGUGAAGAAGGCCUUCGGGUCGUAAAGCUCUGUUGCGGGGGAAGAAAGGCAGCAUCAGGAAAUGGUUGCUCCCUGAUGGUGCCCCGCCAGAAAGUCACGGCUAACUACGUGCCAGCAGCCGCGGUAAUACGUAGGUGGCGAGCGUUGUCCGGAUUGAUUGGGCGUAAAGGGUGCGCAGGCGGUCCUGUAAGUCUGGUGUGAAAGGCAGGGGCUAAACUGGUGCAGGGCUUUGGAAACUGGAGGACUGGAGAGCAGGAGAGGGCGGUGGAACUCCAUGUGUAGCGGUAAAAUGCGUAGAUAUAUGGAGGAACACCAGUGGCGAAGGCGGCCGUCUGGCCUGUUGCUGACGCUGAGGCACGAAAGCGUGGGGAGCAAAUAGGAUUAGAUACCCCUGUAGUC
rnacentral:rRNA from 1 species